GCUGGGUGUGGUGGCUCACACCUGUAAUUCCAAUUACUCAGGUGGCUGAGGCAGGAGGGUGUCAAGUUUGAGAUCAGCCUGGGCAACAGAGUGAGAUCUUGUCUCAA
rnacentral:sRNA from 1 species